UGGGGUCGUCGUGACUGAGCUCCGUUAUAUACUGUAUCUUGAAUUAUCUAAAGACCUGUAUGUCUAGCAAAUUGAUGGUUGUCAACCGUUGUAUAUGCCGACAUUUUUAUUGAGGAGUAUGAUACUGGCGAUGAUGAUAAUCAUUUUAUCAGAGUAUGGACCUAUGACCAUUGACCAGAGCCGCAGCCAGGUCAUGUCCACCAGCUAGCAUACGGCUUGUUUACGCAGCUACAUCUUGCAUUACAGUGAAAACAACAGUGUGAUGUUGUAUACCAGAGAUGAUCCAUAUUAAGUUUUCGUUUGGAGUGGAUUUGCCAAUUUGAUCUGAAAUGAUAUGAUGAUCAUGGCCCUGGAAAGUGUGAGUGCUGCGUGUGUUACUUUCCAUAGGCAAGACCCCCGUGGAAUUCCGCAACUGGCUGAUGGAGAGGGUAUGGUUUACGUGCAGACUGGUGACUGAAGGAGUAACCAGAGAAUUGGAGAUGGAACACCCCCCCCCCUGGAAAAAACUGAGGUCAUUAGAAAACAAGCUCCACAUUGCAAGCAAGAAGGACAGAUUUUGAAAUCCGACGGGACAAUCGUUGAAACAUUCUUCUAAGAUAGAGUGGGCUGGCUGCAAAGAUCAACGAGGUGGACCAUGAACAAGGCGCAGAUUAUCUAGUUGCUAUGCGUCCCUCAAAAAAAGGAAACUGGGAUUCUCAUAUCGUUUUUCUCCUAAGGCAAAUUCAUUAUAAUAUUUCAUUUGCAUUAUAUUUUCACUUUUAUACACACAAUUCAAUAAUUCCUCUAAUUUUAUACCUAAUCUGCCACAAACACUUUACGCAUUAAAGGGAAUGGUCCAGGCUAGAGAUAUUUUUAUCUUAAUAAAUAUGGUAAAAUUUACAGAGCAAAAUGCUGAAAAUUUGACCGAAAUCGGAUAACAAAUAACAAAGUUA